AUUACUUUUAAGCUGCGUGCCAUUAUCAGUGAUAGCCAUUUUGGGAACACUGAAUUUGCAAAAAAUGCUCUGUUUGACAAAGGUGAUCGCCUUAUUAGCAGUGAUAAGCUGCGUAGCUUCUGCCUUAGCUCAUUUAGUGAAAUGAUCAGUUGAUAUAACGACAUACUAUCUGCCCUGUAACGAUAUUCCCGACAAGAAUAUCGGACAUAUUUUUAUCAUGUAACCGAUUCAUACCCGAUCAUUCUUCUUUGUCCGAACACUUUUCUAUUGUACUGAACACUUA
rnacentral:misc_RNA from 1 species